rnacentral:rRNA from 1 species
GCCCAACCUCCCACCCGUGUUUACUGUACCUUAGUUGCUUCGGCGGGCCCGCCAUUCAUGGCCGCCGGGGGCUCUCAGCCCCGGGCCCGCGCCCGCCGGAGACACCACGAACUCUGUCUGAUCUAGUGAAGUCUGAGUUGAUUGUAUCGCAAUCAGUUAAAACUUUCAACAAUGGAUCUCUUGGUUCCGGCAUCGAUGAAGAACGCAGCGAAAUGCGAUAACUAGUGUGAAUUGCAGAAUUCCGUGAAUCAUCGAGUCUUUGAACGCACAUUGCGCCCCCUGGUAUUCCGGGGGGCAUGCCUGUCCGAGCGUCAUUGCUGCCCAUCAAGCACGGCUUGUGUGUUGGGUCGUCGUCCCCUCUCCGGGGGGGACGGGCCCCAAAGGCAGCGGCGGCACCGCGUCCGAUCCUCGAGCGUAUGGGGCUUUGUCACCCGCUCUGUAGGCCCGGCCGGCGCUUGCCGAACGCAAAUCAAUCUUUUUCCAGGUUGACCUCGGAUCAGGUAGGGAUACCCGCUGAACUUAAGCAUAUCAAUAA